AUUGAACGCUGGCGGAAUGCUUUACACAUGCAAGUCGAACGGCAGCACGGACUUCGGUCUGGUGGCGAGUGGCGAACGGGUGAGUAAUGUAUCGGAACGUGCCCAGUCGUGGGGGAUAGCGUGGUGAAAAUUACGCUAAUACCGCAUACGAUCUAUGAACGAAAGCGGGGGAUCGCAAGACCUCGCGCGAUUGGAGCGGCGUAUAUCAGAUUAGGGAGUUGGUGGGGUAAAGGCCCACCAAGCCAACGAUCUGUAGCUGGUCUGAGAGGACGACCAGCCACACUGGAACUGAGACACGAUCCGGACUCCUACGGGAGGCAGCAGUGGGGAAUUUUGGACAAUGGGCGAAAGCCUGAUCCAGCCAUUCCGCGUGCAGGAUGAAGGCCCUCGGGUUGUAAACUGCUUUUGUACAGAACGAAAAGGUUUCUACUAAUACUAGGAGCUCAUGACGGUACUGUAAGAAUAAGCACCGGCUAACUACGUGCCAGCAGCCGCCGUAA
rnacentral:rRNA from 1 species